CUUGCAUACAUGCUGUCUGUGCAUUUAAAGCAAAUCAGGCCUAACUGGACCUCGUACUGUUCUAGCUAUUACUCAGUUGAGUCCUAUAAGGCUACUUAUGCACCUCCCAUGUUCCCAUAGCAAGACCAGGAUGAUUGGGUGGAGGCCCUAUUACUAUUCUUCCUCCUCUAGAUAUGAGGAGACCUGGUAGACCUAGAGUGAAUUGAAGAAGAGGUCAUGAUGAGCCACCAGCAGAGAAGAAAGCAAGGACAUGUAGUAGAUGCAAGUUGCCUGGACAUAAUGUCAAGACUUGCCAAGGAGGUGCAGUGGGUUCAAACCCUAAGAAGAAAAGAGCCAGAACAGAGGUGGAUGGAGAAACUCAGCAGCUUACUUCUUACAAUCAAGGUGAGUGUAGCACUGGUAGGAUGAGAUCUGUUAGAUCCAGGGGGGAGGGAGGGUUCUUUCGUCAGGUCUUUUCUGAUGUUGCUGCCCAUUCAGCUGGAACUUCUGCUGCUGCAACAUCUACAAGUACCAGAUCCAGAGGUGGUUUCUUUCGGCAGGUAUUUUCUGAUGCUGCUGCACGUUCAGCUGGGACGGAGACUAAGAAGGCCAAGACCACGAAAAAGUGAAGUUUGGAAGUGAAUAAUAUUUGCAUCUAGUGGAGAUCAAGCCUAGUACUUACCGGGACG